CAUUAGAUGGCUGAAAGAAAGCAAUGGAAUUUUAAACCAUCCUAUAAUGGAGUAACGCACAUUUUUAAUG
rnacentral:tRNA from 1 species